UUUACUGCAAGGUGAUGGGUAUCAGUAAUCUGCUUCCAUUAACCCACCCUCGGGAAAGACCAGUAAAGAGAAAGAAGUUAUUGAUGAGAACAGGGGACAAGUAAAUAGCCAAGAGACCUAAGGCACUGAUCAACCUGAUGGUCAUUGUGCAACCAGAGAUACAAAGAAGAUAUUUGUGUGAGGCUAGAAAACCAAAUGAAAGCAUUUUUGCUCCCGGUAGAAGGUAUGAGACAAGCUUCGAAAGCACAUCCUGGUAGAACAUGACAUUAGUUAAUUAGACUAUCUACUCAAUGAGAGGUAAAGAAGAAAUCUUUCCAAGCAGAUGUAUUCUACAAAACAUGUUCACUCACGGAAGUUCUGGAUCCCUCACAUUAUUCCAUUUGAAGAAGUCUCAGCCCACCAGACUGGCUGUAUAAACUGAAUAAAUG